UGCCAAUCUUCAUAUAUUUAUUAAAUAGAAACAUUUUCAAGUUGUAGAACAGUAUUCUUAUGCAGCACAAUUGUAAUGCUGGUAUACAAUUAAAAAUUGAAAUUUUUUUUCGGACUCUAUUCACCAGUUUUUCUUAUUAUUUUCAUAAUUUUUAUGUGACCAUUUGAACACUUUAUAAUUCAUUCUGUCAUUGUUUAUGUCACUACAUCUUGCCCAGUGCCUGAAGACAAAUGUCUAUUGUUUUAUUCCAUGUCCCCGUUAAUAGCAUCAAUUGGCAUAUACUUGCCAACACCCAUAAAAAAAUCUGAUAGCGCAGUUCUAGACAGCCUUUGUAUAAGAAAAAUGUUUGCUGAACCGAACGGUUCCUAAAAUUAACAACUUUAUGUUUAUCUAAGUUCACAUUUAUACAAUUGGUAACAUAACAAUUACUUAAUACAUCUAAUAGAGCAUGUAAAUUAUUUUCAGCAAUAAAUACAAUGUCAUCAGCAUAUAAAAGUAAACAAACUUUAUCACCAUCAAUGUCUACACCAAUAUCUAGCGCUUUCAUUACAUCAAUUAAACUAUUAAUAAAAGUAUUAACCAUAAGAGGCGAUAAUAAACAUCCUUGUAUAAACUCGAAUUAACGCUAAACCAAUCUGUCAUAUUGCCAUUAUGUUUAAUACAACAUUCUACAUGUAAAUAUAUAUCUUUCAAUGUAAUUCAAAAUGUGUACUUAUUCUUAAAUCAUCAUCAAA
rnacentral:lncRNA from 1 species